GGUUAAGUUAUUAAGGGCGCAUGGUGGAUGCCUUGGCACUAGGAGCCGAUGAAGGACGGGACUAACACCGAUAUGCUUCGGGGAGCUGUAAGUAAGCUUUGAUCCGGAGAUUUCCGAAUGGGGGAACCCAACUUGUUAUGCAAGUUAUCACCUAAUGAAUAUAUAGUUAGGUUGAAGGUAGACGUUGUGAACUGAAACAUCUCAUUAGCAACAGGAAUAGAAAGAAAAAUCGAUACCGUCAGUAGCGGCGAGCGAAAUCGGUAGAGCCCAAACCAAAGUGCUUGCACUUUGGGGUUGUAGGACUGACAUUGUGGAGUUACAAAG
rnacentral:rRNA from 1 species